rnacentral:rRNA from 1 species
UACAGAGGUCUCAAGCGUUGUUCGGAUUCAUUGGGCGUAAAGGGUGUGUAGGUGGCGCCGUAAGUCGGGUGUGAAAUUUCGGAGCUUAACUCCGAAACUGCAUUCGAUACUGCGGUGCUUGAGGACUGGAGAGGAGACUGGAAUUCAUGGUGUAGCAGUGAAAUGCGUAGAGAUCAUGGGGAAGACCAGUGGCAAAGGCGGGCUCUGGACAGUUCCUGACACUGAGACACGAAGGCCAGGGGAGCAAACGGG